rnacentral:rRNA from 1 species
AUGAUCAGUUUACGGCUCCAACUGAAACUCUGCUCCUUCAUCUCCAUAGCGUCCACGGCGGGGGAGAUGGCGACAGUCGACGACGACGGGCAGGUGCAGCGCUCCCUCCUCUACUCCUUUCCCCGCGUGCAGGUGCAGAUGAGGAGGUGUUGGUCGACGAGACUAAGGGGAGAGACAAGAUGGCGGAAAGUGGAGGAGGUGCAGGUGGUCAACGACGGCAACGGCGGGUCGGCGGCCGGCGGAGGCAGCGCUCCCUCCCUCCUGCAGCUGUAUGGUGGGCAGCGGCAGCGGCACCGGGAUGGGAUGCGGAGGCGGCGUCGGGAUUGA